AAAAUAAUCCUACCCUUUGUGAAUUUUGUUUGUUUGAAUAAUUUUUUUUUAAAAAAUUAUUGGAGUCUUUCCCUUUAAGUUUGCUUUUGAGUUUGUAAAAGAAUUCGAAAACAUCUAAAGGGGAUGGUCAAUAAUUUUUUUGAAAAAAGACAUUUUUUAAAAUUAAACUUUUUGCAUUCAUUUGUCUAAAAUUAUUUUUAUAAUAUAAAAACAACUUUUGACAAUGGAUCUCUUGGUUCUCGCAACGAUGAAGAACGCAGCAAAAUGCGAUAAGUAGUGUGAAUUGCAGAAUACGUGAAUCAUCGAAUCUUUGAACGCAUAUUGCACUUUUUUAGUUUACUAAAAAAGUAUGUCUGUUUGAGUAUCAGUAAAAUAUUCUCAUAAAAAUCAUUGUGUAUUUUUAUGGUUAUGAGUGUUUUACAACGAUACGAGUUGUUUCACUUUAAAUUUUUUUUUAAUAUUGAAAUUUUUCUAAUUUUAAUAAUUAAAAUUGGAUAAAAUUUUCCCGUCAAAAGGAAUAACCUAAACAAUUUUAAAUGAUUAAUUUUAGCAAAAUUUUCGAAAAAAAGGAAAAUUUUUAUUAAAAUAACUUGAUCUCAAAUCAGAUAAGAGUACCCGCUGAACUUAAGCAUAUCAAUAAGCGGAGGAAAAGAAACUAACAAGGAUUCCCUUAGUAACGGCGAGUGAAGCGGGAAGAGCUCAAAUUUGAAAUCUUCAAGGUUUUACCUUGACGAAUUGUAGUUUAAAGAAGUGUUUUCUGCUGAAGUUUUGGUAAAAGUUCUUUGGAAUAGGACAUCAUAGAGGGUGAGAAUCCCGUAUUUGACCAUUAUUUUCAGCUUUGUGAUACACUUUCAAAGAGUCGGAUUGUUUGGGAAUGCAGUCCAAAAUGGGUGGUAAUUCAUCUAAAGCUAAAUAUUGGCGAGAGACCGAUAGCGAACAAGUACCGUGAGGGAAAGAUGAAAAGAACUUUGAAAAGAGAGUUAAACAGUACGUGAAAUUGUCAAAAGGGAAGCGUUUGACACCAGUGUUGUUUUCUCGAAAAUCAAUUAAAAAUGGCUCGAUUUUGUAUUGCUGAGACCUUAAAAGCUCACUGUACAUUUUUCGUGUCUUUUUUAAUGCACUUUUCGUUUAACAAGUCAACAUCAGUUUCUUUUGUUGUAAAAGGGUCAUUGGAAGGUGGCUUUCUUUUCGGAGAAAGUGUUUAUAGCCUUUGGCCUCUGCAAUCGAAGAGACUGAGGUCUGCAGCGUAGACUCUUCGGGGUUAGAUACAUUUGUGCUAAGUUAUAGCUUUUUAUAGACAACUUGUUGACUAUAAUUAGUCUUGUAGCUUACUCGCUUAUGCUAUUUUACCUACGCUUAGGAUG
rnacentral:misc_RNA from 1 species